CCUUGUACACACCGCCCGUCACACCAUGGGAGUCGUUUGCUCCAGAAGUGCCUGCGCUAACCGCAAGGAAGUAGGGCCCAAGGAGUGAACGGUAACUGGGGUG
rnacentral:rRNA from 1 species